rnacentral:rRNA from 1 species
GAUGAACGCUGGCGGCGUGCCUAAUACAUGCAAGUCGAGCGAAGCGGGGACGGGUGAGUAACACGUGGAUAACCUCCUAUAAGACUGGGAUAACUUCGGGAAACCGGAGCUAAACCGGAUAAUUAUAGAUGGAUCCGCGCUGCAUUAGCUAGUUGGUAAGGUAACGGCUUACCAAGGCAACGAUGCAUAGCCGACCUGAGAGGGGAAUCACCCCCACUGGAACUGAGACACGGUCCAGACUCGUCCAUGAACCAUCAAUAUAUAAUCUUCCGCAAUUGGCGAAAGCCUGACAGAGCAACGCCGCGUGAGUGAAGAAACUCUUCGGGUCCUAAAGCUCUGUUAUUAGGGAGGCGGUACCUAAUCAGAAAGCCACGGCUAACUACGUGCCAGCAGCCGCGGUAAUAC